AACUCAACCUGGCUGCUAAGGUAAAAGGGAACAAGAAACUCUUUUACAAGUAUAUCAACAGUAAGAGGAGGACCAGGGAAAAUCUCCAUUCCCUACUGGAUGAGGCUGCGAAUGUGACCGCUGAGGAUAAGGAAAAGGCAGUGGAAUGGGCUGCCCAGAGAGGUGGUGGAGUCACUGAGCCUGGUGGCGUUCAAAGACCGUUUGGAUGUUGUGCUGAGGGACACGGUUUAGCGAGAACCAUUGGUGAAGGGCGAAUGGUUGGACUGGGUGAUCCCGCGGGUCUUUUCCAACCUUAGCGAUUCUAUGAUUCUAUGAUCGCCUCCUGAUGCUCUGCACACCAGCCGAGGAGCGGCGCUUCCCCGUGGGCGGAGGGGCACGCGUCACAGCCAGAGCAUUGUGACGCAAUCACCCUGCAGAGUAGCAGAAGCACCGCUCCCUGGGCACAGAGAGCACUUGGUGCUGAGCACCGGCACUGCGAGGAGGUGGGAGAGAUUGGGAGAGGAGACUGAAGGCAGAGAGUGCCCCCGGUGCCCUCCCAGCCCACAGCGUGGUCGAGGACUGUCGCGAACCCAUCCGCAGCUGUGCGCACUGAGCGGCACUGAAGGAGGAGGUGGAAAUGGAGAUGAAAAACCUCCAGAAGGCACAACGGAGGGCCCAAAAGCGCACUGCGCCCAGGAGGAAGAUGACACGCAGGGAAGAGCACAUGAGUUCCCUGCUGCAGGAGACAGUGGCUGUGCGAUUGGAUGAGCAGACGGCAGCACAGAAGCAUCCACUUGUAACUUCCUGGCUGCGGAGGUUUCUGCUGUUCUUGGGCCUGCUGCAGCUUGUUUUCUUCACCCUAGUUGUGCUGCAGAAGGACAUCCUCCGCUGGGUCCUGCCUGCAGAGCUGGCACCUGCCCUUGGCAUCCGUCCACCUACGCCCGCUCUUUUCUGACCCCAGAACACACUGCGGCCCUUCAUCGGGACACCAUUGGGCCUGCACAAGCAUUAGGGAGUCUGUCACCAUUGUCACCCUGUCACCAAUCACGUCAAUAAAAUCCAUCCCAAUUCCCAAAUGUCUUAUUCGUGCAUGAGAGGCGUUAGAGCCCGUCGACAAAUCCCUGUUGAACCUUGGGAAGGAUAAAGUGGGAUUCCGGAGCUAAGAAACAGGACUCAGGGAAUCGGCAAGGCUGG
ensembl:lncRNA